GAUGAACGCUAGCUACAGGCUUAACACAUGCAAGUCGAGGGGAAACGAUAUUGGAAGCUUGCUUCCGAUAGGCGUCGACCGGCGCACGGGUGAGUAACGCGUAUCCAACCUGCCCAUCACUUGGGGAUAACCUUGCGAAAGUAAGACUAAUACCCAAUGACGUCUCUAGAAGACAUCUGAAAGAGAUUAAAGAUUUAUCGGUGAUGGAUGGGGAUGCGUCUGAUUAGCUUGUUGGCGGGGUAACGGCCCACCAAGGCGACGAUUAGUAGGGGUUCUGAGAGGAAGGUCCCCCACAUUGGAACUGAGACACGGUCCAAACUCCUACGGGAGGCAGCAGUGAGGAAUAUUGGUCAAUGGACGAGAGUCUGAACCAGCCAAGUAGCGUGCAGGAUGACGGCCCUAUGGGUUGUAAACUGCUUUUAUAAGGGAAUAAAGUGAGCCACGUGUGGCUUUUUGCAUGUACCUUAUGAAUAAGGACCGGCUAAUUCCGUGCCAGCAGCCGCCGUAAAAC
rnacentral:rRNA from 1 species